UGCGUAGGCGGCCUGACAAGUCAGAGGUGAAAGGCUACGGCUUAACCGUAGUAAGCCUUUGAAACUGUUAGGCUUGAGUGCAGGAGAGGAAAGUGGAAUUCCUAGUGUAGCGGUGAAAUGCGUAGAUAUUAGGAGGAACACCAGUGGCGAAGGCGACUUUCUGGACUGUAACUGACGCUGAGGCACGAAAGCGUGGGGAGCGAACA
rnacentral:rRNA from 1 species